UCCUGUGAUGAGAAACAUCUGCGUGCCGCAGGUGCCAGAGACCCCCUUCCCAGGCUCGUCCGUAAGGAGUCUGGCUCACGCCACCUAUCAAGCAGAUGUGCACAUAUAUUCAUAUUAUGUUGGUUCUGUUUCUCUGGAGAGCCCUGACUAAUCCACAUUCGAAAAGAGUGAACAUAACAACAGCGUCUACUUCGCGGGUUGAUUAUGCUUGAUUUCAGAAUAAAGAGAAACGUCUGGGUGUAAAAACCAAGGGAUAAAUGAAAAUCAGAGGAUAAGCAAA